rnacentral:lncRNA from 1 species
CUCCAUUUUCAGAUCUCUUAAGCUUGGUACCUGUAAUGAUUGGUCAACCAAAUUCAUAAUUUGAUUUUUAUGAAUAUUCACUAAGGGAGCUACCAUUUGAUUUUUAUAGGGGGGCUAGGAUGAAAUUUGAAAAAAAUAGGCAGGACAGGAGUUUUGAGUAAAAAAAAAAGGCAGGAUGAGAAACUUGUUAAAAAAAAAAGCCAGGAUGACAAUUUGUGUAAAAAAAGUCAGGAUAAACUAGUAAAAAAAAAGGCAGGACCGAAUAGUGUAAAAAAUAAAAAGGCAGGACAGAGAUUACAACUAAAAAAAAAAGCAGGACAAAAUUUUUCAUCCUAGCCCCCCCAUAAAAAUCAAAUGGUAGCUCCCUAAAGCUCUUGGAAGUUGCCAAGAAAUUACAUUAAUAACUGCGGUGUCGUUUUAUGUCAUAUAGCCUGAUAACACAAUAGUUUUACAAUAAU